CUAAGAAUCUUCCGCAAUGGACGAAAGUCUGACGGAGCGACGUCGCGUGGGUGAUGAAGGCGGAAACGUUGUAAAGCCCUUUUAUAGAUGAGGAAUAAGUGGGGGAGGGAAUGCCUCCAUGAUGACGGUAGUCUGUGAAUAAGCCCCGGCUAAUUACGUGCCAGCAGCCGCGGUAACACGUAUGGGGCGAGCGUUGUUCGGAAUUAUUGGGCGUAAAGGGUAUGCAGGCGGUUUCAUAAGUCUGGUGUGAAAGACCACAGCUUAACUGGGGGAGCGCAUUGGAAACUGUGAGACUUGAGUACAGGAGGGGGAGCUGGAAUUCCAGGUGUAGGGGUGAAAUCUGUAGAUAUCUGGAAGAACAUCAGUGGCGAAGGCGAGCUCCUGGCCAUGUACUGACGCUGAGAUACGAAAGCGUGGGGAGCGAACAGGAUUAGAUACCCGGGUAGUCC
rnacentral:rRNA from 1 species